AGGUUUUGUCUCCAGAUUUUUCUGAAAAUAUUAAUGAAGCCAGCUGGGAAGAGGAGCAGUUUGGAUGAGACUGGGAUAAGAAGUGGUUAAUAAAAUCUGGUUAUCUAUUCUGGAAAAAAUAAACAGCUGAUACCACCAUUCUGAACUAUUACAGUGAAUUCCACAUAGGCACUGAAGGUGCAAGCUUUCAUGAAUUGCUUGCCUUUGAGUCAGAAUCUGGAACGCUGAGGAGGUCUCUUUCCAGUAACUUGGACCAGAGACAACUGUAAAUGUGCUGGAAGCCAGAAGAUGUUGGGGAAGCUGGCAAAGAGAAAACCUGAGAGUUAUUUACUGCUCAGCCUGCAGCAUCCAUGAGUGACUGAAGGGAGUAUCUGGACCUUUUUCUCACUUCCAAAAGCAAGUGCUACCAGAAAGGAAGAAGAAAACCUUGAAGUUAUCUUAGCCUACAACAGUGAUAUCAUCCAUAUCUUUAUUGUCAUGGAUGAAAAUGGGAAAUAAAAGAUUCUGAUGGCUCCUAA
ensembl:lncRNA novel transcript